rnacentral:rRNA from 1 species
CCUACGGGUGGCAGCAGUGGGGAAUAUUGGGCAAUGGGCGCAAGCCUGACCCAGCAACGCCGCGUGAAGGAAGAAGGCUUUCGGGUUGUAAACUUCUUUUAAGAGGGAAGAGCAGAAGACGGUACCUCUUGAAUAAGCUACGGCUAACUACGUGCCAGCAGCCGCGGGAAUACGUAGGUGGCAAGCGUUGUCCGGAUUUACUGGGUGUAAAGGGCGUGUAGCCGGGCUGAGAAGUCAGAGGGGAAGUCCCGUGGCUCAACCACGGGAAUGCAUUUGAAACUGUCGGUCUUGAGUAUCGGAGAGGCAGGCGGAAUUCCGAGUGUAGCGGUGAAAUGCGUAGAUAUUAGGAGGAACACCAGUGGCGAAGGCGGCCUGCUGGACGACAACUGACGGUGAGGCGCGAAAGCGUGGGGAGCAAACAGGAUUAGAUACCCUUGUAGUC